rnacentral:rRNA from 1 species
UACGGGGGGGGGCAAGCGUUGUUCGGAAUUACUGGGCGUAAAGGGCUUGUAGGCGGCCAACUAAGUCGGACGUGAAAUCCCCAGGCUCAACCUGGGAACUGCAUCCGAUACUGGAUGGCUUGAAUUCGGGAGAGGGAUGCAGAAUUCCAGGUGUAGCGGUGAAAUGCGUAGAUAUCUGGAGGAAUACCGGUGGCGAAGGCGGCAUCCUGGACCGACAUUGACGCUGAGGAGCGAAAGCCAGGGGAGCAAAGCGGG